UGUCACCAGCAAGAGCACAUAUCGACCUGGUGGCUUGCUACUUCGAUGUCGUCUCUUCCCAACCUCCCGGUGCAGCAGCUGGGAAGGGUGGGGUUGUUCGCCCAUUAAAGGGGAUCGUGAGAUGGGUUUAGACCGUCGUGAGACAGGUUUGUUGCUUUGCGGUUGAAGCGCGUAAGAUGCCUGAUCGGAAGGGCCCUUUAGUACGAGAGGAACGAGGGCUCGGAGCCACUAGUUUACCAGUUGUCCGGCAGGGCAAUGCUGGGUAGCCACGCUCCAAUGGAUAAGAGCUGAAAGCAUCUAAGCUCGAAGUCAUCCGAAAGACGAGGCAUCUCAGGGGACUCGUAGAAGACGAGUUUGAUAGACAGCGGGUGUAAGCACCGAGGUUCGCCGAGGUGUUCAGCCCAGCUGCACUAACCCCCCGAGCAAUCUUGACA
rnacentral:rRNA from 1 species